GGCUUAACCUGCCCUUUACUCGGGGAUAGCCUUUCGAAAGAAAGAUUAAUACCCGAUAGUAUAAUGAUUCCGCAUGGUUUCAUUAUUAAAGGAUUCCGGUAAAGGAUGGGGUUGCGUUCCAUUAGGUUGUUGGUGAGGUAACGGCCCACCAAGCCUUCGAUGGAUAGGGGUUCUGAGAGGAAGGUCCCCCACAUUGGAACUGAGACACGGUCCAAACUCCUACGGGAGGCAGCAGUGAGGAAUAUUGGUCAAUGGGCGUUAGCCUGAACCAGCCAAGUAGCGUGAAGGAUGAAGGCUCUAUGGGUCGUAAACUUCUUUUAUAUAAGAAUAAAGUGCAGUAUGUAUACUGUUUUGUAUGUAUUAUAUGAAUAAGGAUCGGCUAACUCCGUGCCAGCAGCCGCGGUAAUACGGAGGAUCCGAGCGUUAUCCGGAUUUAUUGGGUUUAAAGGGAGCGUAGGUGGACUGGUAAGUCAGUUGUGAAAGUUUGCGGCUCAACCGUAAAAUUGCAGUUGAUACUGUCAGUCUUGAGUACAGUAGAGGUGGGCG
rnacentral:rRNA from 1 species